CUCUAUAUACAUAGCUACACAUAUUUAUAUCAAUAUUGAUAUCUAUAUAUAUAUAUAGUGCCAAUCCAAUGCCCUGACAUAAUAAUCAUCAUCAUUUGUUGUGUAUUUAUGAUAUGCCAGACAUUUCUCUAGGUAUUUAUAUACAAUUUUCACAGCAAUCUUACAAGGUAGAUUAUUUUUAUGCUUAUUUCACAAGUGAGGAAAACCACAUAGGACCCAAAAUUCUAAGUUAUUUGCCUCAAAUUAAAGCUAGUAAUGUAACAUUCUAUGUCAACUACACUAAAAAAAGAAAAAAAAAUGAAAGAGGUAAAAGCUAGAAUAAAGUAUAGAUAAUUUGGCUCAAUAAUGUCACCUAAACAAAUCCUUAGAAAUAUUCUACACUGAUUCAAAGGAAUGUGGUAAGAGCUCAGAGAGUAUUUUUCAAUGUAUAAUAAAAACUUAAAGGCUAAUAAUUUGAGCUUGUGCUAAAUAAUUUACACAAGAUCGUCUGUUUUAAUUCUCUGAGCAAUGUCAUGACACAGAAGCUGUUGUAAUUCUAUCUGACAAUGAGGUGUUAAGUGGCUAGACCAAGGUCACACAACUAACUUGUUUAAAGAUUAGAACUUAAAUGCCUAUCUUCAUCAUUGAUCUUCCCUCCAAAAUUUUCAAGAGGAUGAAAUAAAGAAUGAUUGUGAAGGUUCUUUGUGAAUGCAGAACAACUUCUGGUAGAAAAUUCUGGUAAGAUAGUGUCAUAGUCUGUGGUAUGGAGGAAGUAUCACCUCAGCACUUCAUGACUCUUAAUAUCAUAGUCUUUGCCAUAAGAACUUACAACUCGUUCCACUGAAUCAAAGUCUACUUAACCACACCUCUAUCUGAGCUUGCCUUCAUGACUUGUUUGUCCAAUGAGACAAUUAACAAUAUGACAUGAACAAAGGCUUGAAAAUCUCUUGUUUAUCAGGACUUUCUUCUUGCUGCUCUUGGGAAUCCUGCAACCAUCACCACGUGAAUAAAUCUGGGCGAGGCUGUGGGAUAAUUAGAGACAUGUGGCCUGUCACCCCACUAACACUGAACCCGCAACCAGACUUGUGAGGAAUGCCAUCCUGACCACCCAUCCCCAGCUGAGCUGCUAAGUGGGCCCAGGGUGGAACUGCUCAGCCCAACUCACAGCAUUAUCAGGAAUAAUAAAUUUUGUGUGUGAGCCAAAAUGUUUUGGGGUGAUAGUUACACAGCAAGAAUUAACUGACACAAUUCCCACCUUUGGUUUAUUCUUUUGGUUUGUACCAUUAGAUGCAUGUUCCACGUGGUGGUUGUGGUGGUAGAGGGGGCAGUGGUCUAGUGAAAAUAAGAUGAGAAAUUGAGAUCAAUGUGGCCCAUACUAUGUAAUAGCCUGAUUUGCUUGUAUUUAGAGCGAGAGAAAUGUGAAAUCAACUGUGGCUAAACACAUUAUACCCUUAAUUACAAAUAAUUACGUCGUAGAUGGGGCACCUGGGUGGCUCAGUCUGUUAAGCAUCUGUCUUUGACUCAGGUCAUGAUCUCGCAGUUCAUGAGUUUGAGCCCUACAUUGGACUCUCUGCCCACUUCAGAUCCUCUGUCCCCGUCUCUCUGCCCCUCGCCCUCCUCUCUCUCAAAAAUAAAUAAACAUUUUUAAAAAAAUCACAUUGUGGAUGAAAUGUUUUUGGUGAUUGUAUUUUACUAAAAAGGAUGUUAUAAAGGAUCAUUUUUUUCUAUUAUCCAAACACACUAGCUGGAUUAUUUUGGAAGACAUCUUGGAAAGAACAUUAAUUUACAUGCUAAACUUGUUCUGUAAUGUUAGCCUCUUUGGCAAAAUGGAUGCUAAGGAGCACUUCUACAAUGUUCCCUUAGGAUCAUUUCGUCUAUUCCUCUUCUACCCCUAAGACAUCUUCUAUAAACGCAAGUAUUGGUUGUUACUUAAAACUGUAGAUAGAAUCUAUUUCCUCUAUAGCAAACAUUGCCAAGAUGAUUUUGGUAAGCUCACAAUUCAAACAUACGGCUAACUGUCAUCAGUCAUAAAUAAACUGGAUAUUUUUCAUCAUAAAGCAAACAGAAGCCCAUGUAGAAUAUAUACUACUUAAUGAGUUAUAGAGUUCAUAUUUGUCAUCAUAUGGGGAGGCUCCUUCAAAAUCAAUGCCAGGGUUCUUUCUUCUUAGACAACCCAGUCCAGUCGUUUGUCUUUGGCCCAAUAGCUUAUGCCAGGCACAUGGAAAUAACAGAGUGUUCAGAUUCCAAAGAAUUCUGUUUGAUUUUUAGUAUUACAAUUAACAAGCCCUGUUUUGUGGGAUAAUGAGACUACUUAAUAUCUUUGCAAAUAAAUGUUCUUAUGUCUAAAAUAGCUUGUAUUUAUUGAGUAUUUACUAUGUGCGAGGCACUGGGCAGUAUGCUUUAUAUGAGAUAUCUCAUUAAUUCUCACAGAAACCCUAUGAGGUAGACUUUUCAUUAUUUUCAUUUUUACCCACAAGGAAAUUAAGGUUUGGAGCGUUUAAGUAUCUUAUCUAAAGUGAUAAAGACUGUGAUUUGUAGAGCCAGGGUUCUAGAAAGUUCUGACUCCAGAGCUCAAAAUUGUUAUUACUCUGCCAUAAUCAUUCUCUCCCCAUGCUACCUCCAUCUAAAUUCUCUUGGGAAUUUUCCUCCUUUUCACUAUGAAAGCAUUAUAAUAAGGAUAAAAUGAGAAUGCAUAUGUAAGAGUUUAAGUACUUGAAAGCACUAUACAUAUUAAUAUUCAUUCAACAAGUAAUUAUAAGCAGCUACCAUGCAAAUAACAAUUGCCAAACUGGAUUUCAACCAACCUGGCAUAUGGAUACAAACAGUUACUCCAAGGAAUGUGCACUAAAAGUCAGAAUUGUCCUCCAUGGCACCAAUGUUCAAAAUUUUGCAAUGUACCCAAAUAUUUUUGUUGCCUUUAAUAACUCUGUUGAUUGUCUGUGAACAUAUAUAAAUAUUUUUGAAUUAGUAUGUGUAUCUUCAUUCCUUACCUCUGGGGUAACGAGUUCCAUAUGUUUAUUCUCAACUCAUUUGUCCUUUUGUUUGUUGCUUAAAGUCUCUCAAAUUUCAAAGGAUGUUUCUAGUAUUCUGAGAUCUCAUGAAUGAGUUAGAGCCAACUUACUCAAAUCCUUCAUGAUUGUAUAGAUUUCAAUUAUAUCUUACUCGUUCUCUGUUUUCCCAUCUCCCCAAUCUGAAGAGUCAUAAUAUUUUUGAAACUCUUUUUAGAAACGUUAGGUGUUGUCUCUGUGAUGCCAAACAUCUGGCUGAAAAUGGAAUAAAAAAGGGAAGCAUCAGGAUGCAUUCACAUAUCCAGCUGUUUGGCAUUAGAUGAGGCUACUGCAACUUGGAGGGUUUACAUAACUUUUCCAACGUCACAGAGCUGUAGUUGGAACAGAGAAGAGUGGUGGAAAAAAUGACUGAUCUCAGAGCACACAGAUGUAUGGGCAUGAUGACCGCAAAAGAACUUGAAUCUUAACAGAGUCUAUCCAUCACUCAAAUUUGAGAAACACUAAAAUAAUGGAAAAGAAUACAGGCUUUGGAAUUAGACGGAAUUAGGUUCAAGACUCAAUUCUUCUACUCCCUGGCUGUGUCACCUUGAGUGAGUUGCUUGACUUUUCUAAGCCUUAACUUCUUCCUUUCUAAAAGGUAUUCAUUAUAACAAUCACAAACACUAAUUCAGUUCUUCCUAUGUGCCAGAAAAGCUCAAAGAAUUGAACCUAUAUUAACUCUUACUGUUAAAACAAUCCUAUGAAGUAGAUACUAAGAUUAUUUGUAUUCAUGGGUGAGGAAAAUGAGACAUAGAAACAUGAAGCAAUUUGUAAAAAAUUACACACCCAUUAGAACAUGGAUCUAGAUGAUCUGACUCUAGAGCUGAAGCUUAACCACUUUGAUACACUGCCUUUUGAACAUCCACCAUGGUUUCUUAUAUAUAUUUAUGUUAGAUAUGUUCAUAUGCAGCUUUCCAGGAUUAGUUUCUGAGCUCUGCCCUGACACAACACAAGUUCCAUGACUGCCCCUCUCCAAACUGGUACAAGCGUGUUCGAGGAAAAGCUGGGAACAGUUCCAAAGACAAUCCCUACUAGCAUUACAAUGAAGUCGAAUUCAUUCUCAGUGUUUACUAAAUGUCAGAUACUGUGUUUAACAACUUACAUCGUUACCUUAUUCAAAUGUUAAACAACAAAGUGAAAAAAUAAAUUUCAUUUAGAAAGGAAACUUGUUUCAACACUGAGUAAUAUUCCAUCUAAUGUAUAUACCACCUUCUUCAAUGCAUUCUUUCAUAAAUGGACAUUGAGUUGAUUCCAUGUCUUGGCAAGUGUGAACAGUGCUACAGUGAACAUGGGAGAGAAGACAUCUCUCAAGAUCCUGAUUUCAGUUCCUUUGGAUAUAUAUCUAGCAGUGGGAUUGGUGGACCAAAUGAAAAUCCCGCCAUUUGCAACCACGUGGAUGAACAUGGAGAUCAUAUGCUAAGUAAAAUAAAGCCAGACACAAAAAGACAAAUGCUACGUGAUACCACUUACAUGAAAAAUCUCGGGCAGUCAAACUCAUAGAAUGGUGGUCGACAGGGGCUAUGAGGAAGAGGAAAUGAGAUGUUGGUCAAAGAGUAUAAAAUUUCAGUUAUGUAAGAUGAAUAUGUUCUGGAAACCUAAUGUACAGCACAGUGAUGAUAGUUAACUAUACUCUACUGUAUACAGUUGGCCCUUAAACAAUGCAGAGGUUAGGGACACCAACACUCUCCUACAAUCAAAAAUCUGUGUAUAACUUUUGACCCCUUAAAAACUUAACUACUAAGAACUCACUUACCGUUGACUGGAAGCCUUGCCAAUAGCAUAAACAGUGGAUUCACACGUAUUUUGUAUGUCAUAUGUAUUUUACUGUAUUCUUACAAUAAAGCAAGCUAGAGAAAAGAAAUGUUAUUAAGAAAAGCACAAAGAAGAGAAAAUACAUUUACAAUAGCGUGUGUGUAUUGAUUUGGGGGAGAAAAACCUGCCUUAGAUGGCCCAGCAGGACAGGGACGGUGGAAGCAGGCUGUUCUGCAGCCUGGUGGCCUGGAUCUGCAGCAGGAGGCACAGGACAGGCCCACAGGAGGCAGAGUACAGCUGUGCCUUAUGCCUGAGGUGUACCCAGCCAGUGGCCAACAGCAGGUGCCAACACACAGGAGUGCCUGGCCUCUGGAGGACGCUGGCUAGGGUGCCACUCGGGGGGAAGGGUGCUUUCCAGCCCAAGAAUGGCCCAAGACCAGAAACCUUGUAGACCUGAGAACUUGGAGAUUUUCAGUUAGGAUUGCUCACCAAACCACUCCAUCCUGCGCACAGGGCAGUCCACAGCCCUGCCCAGUCCUAGCCCUGGAGGCUGGUGAAAGCUUCAGCGCUGGCUUCCAUGGGUACUCAGAAGACAGCAGGUGAGAUCUCUGGGCCAGUUGGCUUUGAUUCAGUCCUGUGGAAACUUGGGUGGGCAGUUAUAAAUAAAUGCUUUGUGGCUUUUGCUUUCAGCUCUCUUUUUAAAAAUCUACAUGUAAGUGGAUCUGUGAAGUUAAAACCCAUGUUAUUCAAAGGUCAACUGUAUCUGUGUGUGAAUAUAUGUGUGUGUGUGUAUAUAGAGAGAGAGGGAGAAAGAGACAGAGAGACAGAGAGAGACAGAAAAAUUUAUUACUAAGGACUGCUCAUGUGAUUAUGGAGACCGCGAAGUCUAGAUCCAGGUGAGCUGUUAGUUUAUGUUAGUAUCAUUUCAAAAGUCUGAGAACCAAGAGAGCCAAUGCUGAAAUUUUAGUCUGAAUGUGAGUCUGAGUGUUAGCUUUUAUUACUUGAAUUACAGAAGAACCAUGUCUACAGCUUGAACAUGGUCAAGCAGGAAAAGAAAAUUCUUACUCAGCCUUUUUUCUUCUAUUCAGGCCUUCAGUGAAUUGGAUGAGGCCCAGGCAUUUGGGGAGUAAAACUGACUCAAAUACCAUCCAGAAACACCUUCACAAAAAUAUGCAAAAUAAUGUUUAAAUAUCUGGGCACUUCAUGGCCCGGUUGAAUCGACACAUAAUUCUUAAGAUGGCCAAGUUAUGCAUUGAUGAACUUUACUCACAUACUCAUUCAGCCAGUGAAUCAACAAAUAUUUUACUGGCCUCCAUGUGCUAGACACUAUACCACAUAAC